GGCCACAGGCCGGGGCGCCAGGCGGAGCGCCGCGUCGUCUUCCGCGGGGGCAGGAGGGUAAUAUCAACGCGCCGCGCUCGCGCGGGAAAUCCGGAGGGGGCGGGUGGUACUUGUGUAUCACCCAGCUCUGCUUCGUUUCAGCGCUGCACUGCCCCUGCCCCGCCCUGCCCCUGCCCCGCCCUGCCCCCCUUUUUCCCCUCGCCCGCGGGGCCUUGGGGCCGUGAGGGGUUAGGGUUUCGUGCUCGCCUCGCCUAGCUUCGGGGGCGCCGUCGCUGUCCGCUCAGAUGCUGUGCAGCCUGCUGUUGGGACGCGCCUCUCGUCCGCUUCUUAGCUAGCGCGGCGUCGUCGUCAUCGUCUGGGAUCGAUCUGAGCGCCGCCCUGUCGCCCCGCGCUUCGAUCAAGUUCGGCGCCUCGUGAUCUCCGGCCCGCUCGGCUCGAUCGCGCUCCCCUGAUGCGUGAGAUUUGAAGGUUCUUACAUUGAUAAUCAUGCAGUUCUCUGAUGCUGCAUCCUGGAUCAUUUCCAUUGUCCCUCUUGGAUUGCUGAAGGGCAAAGCCAUGGAGAGUGGAACCGCUGCUGGUCAUGUUAGGGAAAGGAAACACAAGCGCAUGGAAGAAUUCCUCGGUUCAACGUUCCCUAUCCUUGUACUUGCAGCUCUCCUCAUGGGCUUGGAGAAGAUAACCUGAGGACCCCCCUAACUCAGACCAAGUCCCAGCGCAGCGGCCCCAUCGUAAGAGGGGUUGUUUCGUCUGCACGUGCCCAUCAACAACUCCUGAAACUAUUCUCCACACUAACACUGAUGAACUCAUCCGGGUGGUUCUCCAUCAAGUUGAGUUCUAGUGAUAGCUAACUAUAUAUAGUGCGUAUUCCCACCUCCAGCUUCUCCCCAUUUCCUCAAGCUUGAUAGCGCGCUUUAUUUUGUUCUGCUCGGCCUCUAAGGUGAGCUACUGCCCCAAGUUUAUGCUUGUGUGCUCCAGAUGACUGUGGAAGCGUUGUGCCAUGUGCUUUUGGUGCGAAUGUACUGUAGUUGUAGGGUAGACCAAUUUGUAGACUGGAGACCGGUGGACUCGAUGCUUAUUAAAUCCGUGAUGUAACGUAAUCCUAAAUCACCGUGUCACUAAUUAUUCAAUACGGUUAUGAUGGAAUGGCAUUUUGUUUAUUUGAGAGGC